rnacentral:lncRNA from 10 species
AUUCCAAAGGCUGCCCUGCGCUGUGUUUUUUUCCCCUUCAGGUUGGCAGAAGGAAAAAUCCCAAGCUACUCAACAAAGGCCUCUGCAAGUGCUGUGCUGUGCUUUGUCCCAAGAAGAAACCAGAGGAAGAAUCUUCUCAGCACUGGUUCCCGCUUCUCUGAACCUCCAAAGAGCAGCUUCCUGCCAAUUCAGCUCGAAGUCAUUACAGUAAAACUGCAGCAUUCCUUUAUAAUAAUAGUAAUGAUACAAGCCACUAUCUGUCAAGCAUCUAGUUGCCAGGCAAAGUAGUGUUUAUUAUCCUUACUGUAAUACUAAUAAUGACUAACAUUUUUGAGUAUUAUUGUUGCCAGCCCCUGUACUAAGUACCUUUCAUGUAUUAUUUCACUCACUUACUACAUUGAACCUACAAGGCAGGUUAUAUUAUUCCCAUUUUUCUACUGAAGGAUUUGAGGCUCAAAGAGGUUAACCAAUGCAACCAGGAAGGAGAGAAUCGGGACUGAAAACUGGUUCUGUCUCAUUCCAGGAUCAUGCUUAUUCUGGUAGCAACAUCUUACACGGGGCAUAAAUUUAAAAGACAGCAAUAGUAUGUCUCAUUUUGGGUUUGUCUUGUUUUGUUUUGGAGAGACGGAAUCUCACUAUGUUGCCCAGGCUGGUCUCGAACUCCUGGGCUCAAGCAAUCCUCCCACCUUGUCCUCCCAAAGUGCUGGGAUUACAAGCAUGAGCCAUCACACUCAGCCUAUCAUUUUAAUAUUAGUAUAUAACAUUGUCACCAGGAUCCACCGAUAAAAUCAGGCCAAACCACAAUGAAGA